CUCUCCCCCUGGCCCAGGUGUUGACGCUAGGGGCGCUGGUGGCGGUGGUACAGACGGUGGCGCCAUUGCGGCAAUUGUCAUCGUUGUCCUCCUCGUCCUUCUUGUUGUUCUCGUGAUUGGGGUUUUAUGGUGGAGGAAAAGAGAGCUCUUGCUCAGUAUCUGGAACCGAGUCACCAAGAAGCGUUCAGCAGACACGCAGGCAAACGACCACGGCUUUACCAAUGAAGGUUCGGUUUACAACCCUAACCACAUAGAAUCCAGUCGGGCCAAAACUCUGGUUAAAAACAACUCCCUGUACAAGCCGAGCGACGGCAACGCCUACUACAACCCUCACGACGAAUACGACGACCCACUGUACGCGACCUUAGACCCUCCCGACGAGUACGCUUACGACCACAUUGUCAAUACCAGUGAUGAGACGCCACAAAACCCGCGCGAGAAAGAGGAAAGUUCCGCGGUGGAAGACGGUAACGUAUACUACAGCCCAGUGGCGGAGGAGGGACAAUAUGAGGGAAGUGC